CCUACGGGGGGCUGCAGUGAGGAAUAUUGGUCAAUGGGCGCGAGCCUGAACCAGCCAAGUCGCGUGAGGGAAGACGGUCCUAUGGAUUGUAAACCUCUUUUGUCGGGGAGCAAAAGACGCCACGCGUGGCGUUCCGCGCGUACCCGAAGAAAAAGCAUCGGAUAACUCCGUGCCAGCAGCCGCGGUAAUACGGAGGAUGCGAGCGUUAUCCGGAGUUAUUGGGGUAAAGGGGUGCGCAGGCGGAAGCUCAAGUCAGCGGUAAAAUUGAGGGGCUCAACCUCUUCGAGCCGUUGAAACUGGUUUUCUGGAGUGAGCGAGAAGCAGGCGGAAUGCGUGGUGUAGCGGUGAAAUGCAUAGAUAUCACGCAGAACUCCGAUUGCGAAGGCAGCAUACCGGAGCGCAACUGACGUUCAUGCACGAAAGUGUGGGUAUCGAACAGGAUUAGAUACCCCUGUAGUC
rnacentral:rRNA from 1 species